AAGCGGCGGCGCCUUCCGUGUACAGCUGGGGAAACACGCUGCGAGAGUUGCCCGUUCUGAAGGCAGGGCUGGUUCUCCUUUUCGGUUCUUGUCCUGACCGGAGAAGUCAGAUAAUGAAUGGACUUCCGUAUGGGGAAGAUUUCACACUGCAGAAACGCGACGCCUUAAGGACUUCUCCCAAAAAGUAUGCAGUAACGUUCAGAAAAUACAGGAUCCGAGACAAUUUUGAGGAAGAAGAAUAGGAUUGAAGGGACUUGUGCACCAGAUACCAACUUACAUGAUGAAGCCACGGUAACUAAGACAGUAUUCGCGCACAGAUGGACGACCCAAGCCACAGGGUUGAGAGCCCAGGAAAAAACCUCUGUACAUAUUACGGAUAUGAAUUUGAUGGGUUAUUGGUAUUACCUAUUAGUGAGAAAAGGAUUAACCGGUAAGUAGUGCUCAACAAAGAGUUACUCCAAAGGAAAAUAAAAUUAGACUGUGACCUAUUAAAAAACCACGUAAAGAAAUUCCGUUCGUUAAAGCCCUGAAAGUGAACAGCUAUCAUUAUGAAUCUGGGGAUUAAACAUAUUUUGUGACUUGUAA